GUAGGUGGCAAGCGUUGUCCGGGAAUUAUUGGGGCGUAAAGCGCGCGCAGGCGGUUCUUUAAGUCUGAUGUGAAAGCCCACGGGCUCAACCGUGGAGGGUCAUUGGAAACUGGAGAACUUGAGUACAGAAGAGGAAAGCGGAAUUCCACGUGUAGCGGUGAAAUGCGUAGAGAUGUGGAGGAACACCAGUGGCGAAGGCGGCUUUCUGGUCUGUGACUGACGCUGAGGCGCGAAAGCGUGGGGAGCAAACAGGAUUAGAUACCCUGGUAGUCCACGCCGUAAACGAUGAGUGCUAAGUGUUAGGGGGUUUCCGCCCCUUAGUGCUGCAGCUAACGCAUUAAGCACUCCGCCUGGGGAGUACGGCCGCAAAGGCUG
rnacentral:rRNA from 1 species